UUAUGUACUUUCCUACAGCGUUAAUGCGUCGGAGGCCAUCAAAACUUUGUAGUUAAGCAUGCUUAGGCUAGAGUAGUACUGGAAUGGGUGACCUCCCGAGAAGUCCUUUUACAUGCC
rnacentral:rRNA from 1 species